rnacentral:rRNA from 1 species
UCGUUGGGUAGGGGAGCGUUCUGUAAGCCUGUGAAGGUGGCCUGUGAGGGUUGCUGGAGGUAUCAGAAGUGCGAAUGCUGACAUAAGUAACGAUAAAGCGGGUGAAAAGCCCGCUCGCCGGAAGACCAAGGGUUCCUGUCCAACGUUAAUCGGGGCAGGGUGAGUCGACCCCUAAGGCGAGGCCGAAAGGCGUAGUCGAUGGGAAACGGGUUAAUAUUCCCGUACUUGGUGUUACUGCGAAGGGGGGACGGAGAAGGCUAUGUUGGCCGGGCGACGGUUGUCCCGGUUUAAGCGUGUAGGUGUGUGUUCCAGGUAAAUCCGGUUCACUUUAACACUGAGGCGUGACGACGAGGCACUACGGUGCUGAAGCAACAAAUGCCCUGCUUCCAGGAAAAGCCUCUAAGCAUCAGGUAACAUCAAAUCGUACCCCAAACCGACACAGGUGGUCAGGUAGAGAAUACCAAGGCGCUUGAGAGAACUCGGGUGAAGGAACUAGGCAAAAUGGUGCCGUAACUUCGGGAGAAGGCACGCUGACACGUAGGUGAAGUGAUUUACUCAUGGAGCUGAAGUCAGUCGAAGAUACCAGCUGGCUGCAACUGUUUAUUAAAAACACAGCACUGUGCAAACACGAAAGUGGACGUAUACGGUGUGACGCCUGCCCGGUGCCGGAAGGUUAAUUGAUGGGGUCAGCGCAAGCGAAGCUCCUGAUCGAAGCCCCGGUAAACGGCGGCCGUAACUAUAACGGUCCUAAGGUAGCGAAAUUCCUUGUCGGGUAAGUUCCGACCUGCACGAAUGGCGUAAUGAUGGCCAGGCUGUCUCCACCCGAGACUCAGUGAAAUUGAACUCGCUGUGAAGAUGCAGUGUACCCGCGGCAAGACGGAAAGACCCCGUGAACCUUUACUAUAGCUUGACACUGAACAUUGAGCCUUGAUGUGUAGGAUAGGUGGGAGGCUUUGAAGUGUGGACGCCAGUCUGCAUGGAGCCGACCUUGAAAUACCACCCUUUAAUGUUUGAUGUUCUAACGUGGACCCGUUACCCGGGUUGCGGACAGUGUCUGGUGGGUAGUUUGACUGGGGCGGUCUCCUCCUAAAGAGUAACGGAGGAGCACGAAGGUUGGCUAAUCCUGGUCGGACAUCAGGAGGUUAGUGCAAUGGCAUAAGCCAGCUUGACUGCGAGCGUGACGGCGCGAGCAGGUGCGAAAGCAGGUCAUAGUGAUCCGGUGGUUCUGAAUGGAAGGGCCAUCGCUCAACGGAUAAAAGGUACUCCGGGGAUAACAGGCUGAUACCGCCCAAGAGUUCAUAUCGACGGCGGUGUUUGGCACCUCGAUGUCGGCUCAUCACAUCCUGGGGCUGAAGUAGGUCCCAAGGGUAUGGCUGUUCGCCAUUUAAAGUGGUACGCGAGCUGGGUUUAGAACGUCGUGAGACAGUUCGGUCCCUAUCUGCCGUGGGCGCUGGAGAACUGAGGGGGGCUGCUCCUAGUACGAGAGGACCGGAGUGGACGCAUCACUGGUGUUCGGGUUGUCAUGCCAAUGGCACUGCCCGGUAGCUAAAUGCGGAAGAGAUAAGUGCUGAAAGCAUCUAAGCACGAAACUUGCCCCGAGAUGAGUUCU